CUGGGGGACUGACGGGUAGCU
rnacentral:miRNA from 1 species